CGGUAGCAGGAAGUGCUUGCACUUUGCUGACGAGUGGCGGACGGGUGAGUAAUACUUAGGAACAUGCCUUUGUGUGGGGGAUAACCAUUGGAAACGAUGGCUAAUACCGCAUAAUGUCUUUGGACCAAAGAGGGCUUUCGGGCUCUCGCGCAAAGAGUGGCCUAAGUGAGAUUAGCUUGUUGGUGAGGUAAAGGCUCACCAAGGCGACGAUCUCUAGCUGUUCUGAGAGGAUGAUCAGCCACACUGGGACUGAGACACGGCCCAGACUCCUACGGGAGGCAGCAGUGGGGAAUCUUGGACAAUGGGCGCAAGCCUGAUCCAGCCAUGCCGCGUGUGUGAUGAAGGCCCUAGGGUUGUAAAACACUUUCAGUGGGGAAGAUAAUGACGGUACCCACAGAAGAAGCUCCGGCUAACUCCGUGCCAGCAGCCGCGGUAAUACGGAGGGAGCUAGCGUUGUUCGGAAUUACUGGGCGUAAAGCGCACGUAGGCGGAUUUGUUAGUCAGAGGUGAAAUCCCGGGGCUCAACCUCGGAACUGCCUUUGAUACUGCAAGUCUAGAGACCGAGAGAGGUGAGUGGAAUUUCCAGUGUAGAGGUGAAAUUCGUAGAUAUUGGAAAGA
rnacentral:rRNA from 1 species